rnacentral:rRNA from 1 species
UACGUAGGGUGCAGGCGUUAAUCGGAAUUACUGGGCGUAAAGCGUGCGCAGGCGGUUUGCUAAGACAGGUGUGUAAUCCCCGGGCUUAACCUGGGAACUGCGCUUGUAACUGGCAAGCUAGAGUGUGGCAGAGGGGGGUGGAAUUCCACGUGUAGCAGUGAAAUGCGUAGAGAUGUGGAGGAACACCAGUGGCGAAGGCGACUCUUUGGCCUGUAACUGACACUGAGGCGCGAAAGCGUGGGGAGCAAACAGG